rnacentral:rRNA from 1 species
UACGAAGGGGGCUAGCGUUGUUCGGAUUUACUGGGCGUAAAGCGCACGUAGGCGGAUUGUUAAGUCAGGGGUGAAAUCCUGGAGCUCAACUCCAGAACUGCCUUUGAUACUGACGAUCUCGAGUCCGGGAGAGGUGAGUGGAACUGCGAGUGUAGAGGUGAAAUUCGUAGAUAUUCGCAAGAACACCAGUGGCGAAGGCGGCUCACUGGCCCGGUACUGACGCUGAGGCACGAAAGCGUGGGGAGCAAACAGG